UUGAUCUCGUGAAUAAAACUAUUGUACUUUUUUCAGGUGAUAGAUCAAGGCCAUUUAAGUCCAACCAAGUUUUUAAAUUUAUCAGCGGUUGUGUUAUAGAAGAACUAGCUUUUUCAAUAGAAAUAUCACGACAGUAAAUUAAUAGAUCAUCAGCAUACUGAAGAACAUUUACACAAUUAAGUGAUGAUUUUAAAUCGUGUGUAUAAAUAUUAUACAAUAUUGGGCUAAGUACUGAUCCCUGGGGGAGGCCCUUUGAAACAAGUCGAGGUAACCAAUUAUUAAGUCUUCAGGAACGAAAGGUGGAGCCAAUUUAUCUAAAAAGCUAUUAACUAAAUGAAAAGGGAUUGAUUUUGGAGAUGAAUCUUUGUAUGCAGAUCUAAACCUUCUUAUAUUUUGCCAUACAAGAGAUGGUUUGACAUCAGGUGAUAUUGAAUAGCAGAAAUUUUUCCAGCCAUCAAAUUUCUUUUUCUUUAGAAAUUUUGAAGUUUCUGACAUACUCUUUGUAAGAAUUUCAAAAUUCUCAUCAGUGGAGCAUUGACAGUAUGUAAUUUCAGCAUAUUUUCUUCUCUUGCCUCUGUACAUUCGUUAUCCCACCAAGGAGGAGAAGGAAUAAAACCCAAAGAGCUAUUUUUACUUGGAAAUAUCUCAUUGGCAACCUCAAUAAAGAUUCUUGCUAAAGAAUCUGCGCACUGAGAUUCUGUACCUGGAUUAAUUUUUGGAAGUGUUGGAAAUGAUAAUAAUAGUGGGAAGUGAUCACUACCAAAAGUAGAUCGUAAUGGAUCCCAGGACAAAGAAGAAACAAGAUUAGGUGUAGUGACUGUUAAAUCUGGAGCACUUGGGCCCUCGUCAGGAUGAGAACGUCGUGUAGGACGACCAUCAUUUAAUAUACACAAAUUCACUGAAUCAAAUAUAUCUAUUAAUGUGUUACCAUAACUAUUAGAAGAUAAGUAACCCCAGGAUUCAUGGCGACAGUUAAAAUCACCAAGGAUCAUAAAAGGCUUCGGAAGAAUGGAAAUAAUAUCUUUAAUUUCAUUUAAGAUUGCAGAAGAAGGAUGAGGUAUAUAAAUAGAUACAUAACAGAUAUUUUCAACUAAAGCAGCAAUAAUAGAAAAAUCAUUACUGUGAGAAGGAAUAGAGAAGAGAGAAAAGGAAAGAGGGUGUUUCACAAGCAUGGCUACUCCACCAUGCCCAUCCACACGAUCUUCUCUGAGACAUGAAUAACCUCGAAUCUUAAAUAAAGAUCCUGGUUUCAACCAUGUCUCUUGAAGAGCACAGAUAUAAGGUUUAUAUUUAUUUAAUAAAUAAAUAAGAUCACUUUUUUUAGGAGUGAUGCUUUGACAAUUCCAUUGAAGAACUUUGUCCAUUAUUUGGUUUAUAAAUUUGAGUAAUUGCAGAAACUAAUAAGGCAGUGUUGGACGGUGAAAAUUCAUUCGAUUGACUAAGAGAUUUUAUAAGAGAAAUAAUUAAAUCAAUUACUGAGGAUUCCAAA